AAAAAUGUGUCUCCUUCUUCCCAGCAGACACGCCCAGGUCCCAGACAGAUAGCAGCAGAGAUCAAGAGAACCAGGCGCACAAGUUAGAGAAGCAGCUGGGGGAACUCUACGGUCAGUUACGUACACUGCGAGGGGAUGUCUCUCAACUCAAGUCAGAGAAACAGAAGAAGGUAUCCAUCACAGAACCGCUGGAAAGUCCGAGAAAACCGGUCACUACAAAGCAGAACCCUGACCCCGCGACACAGGGGCGCCCAGCUACAAGACAGAGCAAUCCAGUCAACAAACAAAACGUUCCAGAAAACAGGAGAAAGUCUUCCCCCAUUUACCUGAGUCCCCAGGAGGAUCCGCCUACCACGCCAGAGCCCAAUUCUGAAGGUGACAGAAUUGAGGUCACUUCCAGCGGUAUCCGCAUCACUACGCCCUACGAGAUACUCGGUCCGCCCGCGGAGGGCGGCACGAGAGCCAGAAGGAUAACCUCCCCUCUAACAGUCCUCCCAGACCACAGUCUCCCCUGGCCAGAAGCCACAAGGGUGAGAGUCUCAUCUUAAGGAAGUGCUUGUCAACACACAAAAAUUGUCUCAUUAGUGCGAAUGUUAUUUAUACACUUAAUGUUUGUGUUUACUGUCUCAACAUAUUUUUACUUUGACUAUUGAACAGUUCAACUCCAUGAAAACCAACCAGCACUUAAUUAGUCAAUUUAAUUUUAUUAUGUAAAUUUAAUUUUUUUU
rnacentral:sRNA from 1 species